rnacentral:tRNA from 1 species
GGAAUGUAGCUUAGUGGUGGAGUACUUGCCUGGCAUAAGCAAGGGCCUGGGUUCAAUCCCCAGCACCA